rnacentral:rRNA from 1 species
AACUAACAAGGAUUCCCCUAGUAACUGCGAGUGAAGAGGGAUUAGCCCAGCACCGAAGCCUGCGGUCAUUUGACUGCUAGGCAAUGUGGUGUUUAGGUUUAUCCUUGGCAUUACCGCUCCACCCCAAGUCCAGCAAUGAGUACGGCUUACUGAACUGGCCCAGAGAGGGUGAAAGGCCCGUGGGGGUGGAGAUCAAGUGGGACGGUUUUGCUCUGGAUGAACCUUGGAGUCGGGUUGUUUGUGAAUGCAGCCCAAAGUGGGUGGUAAACUCCAUCCAAGGCUAAAUACUGACACGAGUCCGAUAGCGAACAAGUACCGUGAGGGAAAGUUGAAAAGUACUUUGAAGAGAGAGUAAACAGUGCGUGAAACCGCUCAGAGGUAAACGGGUGGAGUUGAACUGGAAGCCUCAGGGAUUCAGCUGAUGAGUGUGGCAUGAGCUUGGGCAUAUAUGGCUGGCCUCUGGAGUCUGCUUACUUGCAGGUUCUUGCUCCUUCGGGGUGAGAAUGUGCGUCGCGCUUAUCAAGUGCUGUGCGCUCCGGAUGGUUUAUCGAGCCUGCUUGUCAGUGCACUUUCCUGGGGUGAUCACCACGACCGACGUUGCUGUCUGUCUGCUGCAGUCAAACCGGCUAGGCUUGGUCCUUGUGGCUGAACUUGGUCGGGAUGGCAGGCACCUCGUUGUUUGUGUGUCGGCUUCGGUUGGCAUGCGCUUCGGGGGUAGUUAGCUGUCUGCAGUAGGUCUGUGCAGUGCGCCGGAGAUAGCGGCCAUUGGCGUGUGCAUGCGUGCUAGUCUGGCUAGCGGUAUUCGGUCUGAUCGACACGUAGCCUGCUUCGGUGGGCCGGUCGGUGGCUUGGUAUCGUUUGGCUGGCAGUUGCGUGUGUGAUGCCUUUAACUGGGCCUAAAGUCUGUGGUGUAGUGGUAGACGAUCCACCUGACCCGUCUUGAAACACGGACCAAGGAGUUUAACAUGUGCGCGAGUCAUUGGGCGUUACGAAACCCAAAGGCGCAGUGAAAGUAAAGGUUCGGCUUGUCCGAGCUGAGGUGAGAUCCUGUCGUUUCUCGUGCCUGGUACUGCCAAGCAUUUGAGCGGCGGGCGCAUCACCAGCCCGUCUCACGGCGUAGACAUGCGGCCUCGUUGUCGCGUGCACCACCGGGGCGGAGCCUGAGCGCACACGUUGAGACCCGAAAGAUGGUGAACUAUGCUUGCGGAGGUUGAAGCCAGAGGAAACUCUGGUGGAGGACCGCAGCGAUUCUGACGUGCAAAUCGAUCGUCUAACGUGAGUAUAGGGGCGAAAGACUAAUCGA